rnacentral:rRNA from 1 species
UACCGUGAAUACGUUCCCGGGUCUUGUACACACCGCCCGUCAAACCAUGAAAGUCGCCAAUACCUGACGUUCCGUCUUUUGCACGGGCCUAGGGUAGGGGAGAUAAUUGGGGUU